rnacentral:rRNA from 1 species
UACGUAGGUGGCAAGCGUUGUCCGGAUUUACUGGGCGUAAAGAGCGCGCAGGCGGUCGUUCAAGUCGCGUGUGAAAGCCCCCGGCUCAACUGGGGAGGGUCACGCGAUACUGAUCGACUCGAAGGCAGGAGAGGGUAGUGGAAUUCCCGGUGUAGUGGUGAAAUGCGUAGAUAUCGGGAGGAACACCAGUGGCGAAAGCGGCUCUCUGGUCCAAAACUGACGCUGAGGGGCGAAAGCGUGGGGAGCGAACGGG